AUUGAACGCUGGCGGCAUGCCUUACACAUGCAAGUCGAACGGUAACAGGUCUUCGGAUGCUGACGAGUGGCGAACGGGUGAGUCAUGCAUCGGAACGUGCCCAGUAGGGGGGGAUAGCCCGGCGAAAGCCGGAUUAAUACCGCAUACGACCUGAGGGUGCAAGGGGGGGAUCGCAAGACCUCUCGCUAUUGGAGAGGCCGAUGUCAGAUUAGCUAGUUGGUGGGGUAAAGGCCUACCAAGGCAACGAUCUGUAGUUGGUCUGAGAGGACGACCAGCCACACUGGGACUGAGACACGGCCCAGACUCCUACGGGAGGCAGCAGUGGGGAAUUUUGGACAAUGGGCGCAAGCCUGAUCCAGCAAUGCCGCGUGCAGGAAGAAGGCCUUCGGGUUGUAAACUGCUUUUGUCAGGGAAGAAAUCUUCUGGGUUAAUACCUCGGGAGGAUGACGGUACCUGAAGAAUAAGCACCGGCUAACUACGUGCCAGCCGCCGCCGUAAGAC
rnacentral:rRNA from 1 species